GCACAAGCGGUGGAUGAUGUGGAUUAAUUCGAUGCAACGCGAAAACCUUACCUACCCUUGACAUGUCCGGAAUCCUGCAGAGAUGCGGGAGUGCCCGAAAGGGAGUCGGAACACAGGUGCUGCAUGGCUGUCGUCAGCUCGUGUCGUGAGAUGUUGGGUUAAGUCCCGCAACGAGCGCAACCCUUAUCAUUGGUUGCUACGCAAGGGCACUCUAAUGAGACUGCCGGUGACAACCGGAGGAAGUGGGGAUGACGUCAAGUCCUCAUGGCCCUUAUGGGUAGGGCUUCACACGUCAUACAAUGGUCGGUACAGAGGGUUGCCAAGCCGCGAGGUGGAGCCAAUCCCAGAAAGCCGAUCGUAGUCCGGAUUGUUCUCUGCAACUCGAGAGCAUGAAGUCGGAAUCGCUAGUAAUCGCGGAUCAGCAUGUCGCGGUGAAUACGUUCCCGGGUCUU
rnacentral:rRNA from 1 species